UGUUGUUAAUGCCUACUAACUAAUUUAGUUGCUAAUACCUGCUAAUUCCAUUUUUAUCAGCACAGAAGAAAACCCAAAGCCCAUCACAAAAAUGCUGCCGAUAGCCAAAUAAACUCCCUUAUUACACAAUAUCAGUGCGAACUAAGAAGUACCUUCCCGGCAGAGGGGCUCAGCAGCAGUUGCAGCUGGGGAGCUGAUGAUUCCUCUGUAAUAUAUUCGGUGCUAGUUAUUGGCAAGAAGCAAAAGAUGCGAAGUGGGAGUUUAAAGAAGAAAAACAUCAUGAAGAUACCAGGUCUUUCCUGACUUUUCCACAUCAUGCCAUUUUAUUCAAACAGACCAUGGUCCGACUUCUAAAAAGCAAAUUGCUAGCUGACAGCUGGAUCCACCUCUACUAUAAAUUAUUGGACUCAAGAGCAAGCUGGAAAUCCACCGCAGGAUCAUCAGGCGCAGUGGAGUUAGUUUGUAUUUACACUCUGGUAACCAAGCUGGGGAUUGGGUUUCCAGCAUUAAGGAGUCUUACAUAAAGCAAGAUUUGCUUUUCAUUAAGUUCCAUGUUGACAGACAUAAAUCCUCACUAUAAGUCCUUUCUAAUUUAUAUUUUGUUAGGAUAGGCCAGUACGCACAAAAUUUUUCCUAAUUCAUCUGCUGCAUUGUAAGGCUUUUAUUGUGCUUUAAAAUUAUUCCAGUAUUUUGAUCUGUGUUGUCAGGCUUCAUCCUCCACUGGUCUUUUUCCCUAGAAAAUGUAGGUGACAAAUAUUCACAAACACUAGUUAGAUCUGUGCCAAAGGGAAAGUUCAAAACAAUAAAGCUCUAGCCAGAAAGCUAUAUAGUGGGUGA
rnacentral:lncRNA from 1 species